GUCGAACGGUGACCUCAGAGCUUGCUCUGGGCGAUCAGUGGCGAACGGGUGAGUAACACGUGAGUAACCUACCCCCCUCUCUGGGAUAACUCCGGGAAACCGGUGCUAAUACUGGAUACGACCCGAGCGGGCAUCCGCAUCGGGUGGAAAGUUUUUCGGUGGGGGAUGGACUCGCGGCCUAUCAGCUGGUUGGUGGGGUCACGGCCUACCAAGGCGAUGAUCGGUAGCUGGUCUGAGAGGACGAUCAGCCACACGGGGACUGAGACACGGCCCCGACUCCUACGGGAGGCAGCAGCAAGGAAUUUUCCGCAAUGGGCGCAAGCCUGACGGAGCAACGCCGCGUGCGGGAUGACGCUUUUCGGAGUGUAAACCGCUGUUCGGGGGGACGAAGCACUGACGGUACCCCCGGAGGAAGGCCCGGCUAACUACGUGCCAGCAGCCGCGGUAAUACGUAGGGGUCGAGCGUUGUCCGGAGUUACUGGGCGUAAAGCGUGCGCAGGCGGCGCAUCGCGCCCGACGUGAAAGCCCCCGGCUCAACCGGGGAGGGUCGUCGGGGACGGGUGCGCUUGAGGGUAUCAGGGGCUGGUGGAAUUCCCGGUGUAGUGGUGAAAUGCGUAGAGAUCGGGAGGAACACCCGUGGCGAAGGCGGCCAGCUGGGAUACACCUGACGCUGAGGCACGAAGGCGUGGGGAGCGAACGGGAUUAGAUACCCCGGUAGUCCACGCAGUAAACGAUGCAGACUAGGCGUGGGGGGACUUGACCCCCUCCGUGCCGGAGCUAACGCGGGAAGUCUGCCGCCUGGGGAGUACGGCCGCAAGGCUAAAACUCAAAGGAAUUGACGGGGGCCCGCACAAGCGGCGGAGCGUGCUCUUUAAUUCGUCGCAACGCGAAGAACCUUACCAAGGCUUGACAUGCGCCUGCAGGCCGGGGAAACCCGGGUUGCCUUCGAGGGUGGCGCACAGUGCUGCAUGGCUGUCG
rnacentral:rRNA from 1 species